AGUCUCCCUUUCCUAACCCUCACGGAAGUUUCCCACAGCCUGCAGCAGUCCUUCUUGUAGCCAGCCAAUCUCGCCCAGCUCCACUCCACCAGCAGCCCGUCAGGAGGAGCCUGGGCCAUCUCCGGCAGUGACCAGACUGUGUCCUGAGACCUUCAGCCUCCUCCUUCUCCCACUCUCUGUUUCUCCAACUGGCUGUUCCCUGCCUCCCUCCCGGCCCAGCCUCCCAUGGCCCUGUGGACCUGACACGUGGACUCGCCCUCCUGGGCAUGGCCCCGUGCUCACCUCCCGGCUCACCGUCUGCACCUGCCCCUCAGCCUUCGCCAGCCCCCUGCCUCUCAGGGGAGGCACCGCGUCCUGACGCAGCCCCGCUUCCUGCCCGCUCUUCGCCCCAGCAUGGAGCAAGCCCACGGUUGCUUUACCGGAACUUUUCAGCCACCCUGCAAAGACGAAGUGUGUCUGAGGCUGUGGUUUAAAACCGGGUUGGGGGCCCAGAGCAGCUGCGCAGGAAGCGAGGCUGCUUUUCCAUGAGUUCCCUGGCCAGAGCGUGGUUUCACCUCGGCCCCUUCCUCCCAGGCCUCCAGGGCUACAGCGAGGUUCUUGUUUUGCUGGACCUGUGACACCUGAACACCAAGGGCAUCCACACACGACCAGCGAAGUCCCUUCUCCCUCUGAAGCGCGUGGCAUUAGAAGAGGAAGAGACACCAGGGAACUCACUCUUUCCACGCGCAUAGAGGAGAGGCCACGUGAGCAAGAAGGCAGCCAUCUGCAGGCCAGGAAGAGGCCAGAAAAGCCAGCGUUAGUGGCGUCUUGAUCUCGGAUUUCCAGCCUCCAGAACUGUGAGAAGUUAAUGCCUGUUGGUUAAGCCCCCAGUCCACGGUAGUUUGCCAUGGCAGCCUGAGCAGACUAACGCCCCUCCCGUCCCGGGCUGCCUCAGCUCCUCAGAUUAGAUCACCGGAUCUUUCCCUUCUUCUCGAGGACCCUUAGGAAGCUCAUGAAAGUGCACACGCUGGUAGACACCAUCUUUGCCGGCUGUGUCAGAGGCCUCUCCUGCCCAUGAAAGAACACCCACGAGAGGGCCUGGGGGCUGCACUUCCUGCCGGUCCUGACGCUUCCACACCGAGACCUCCUUCACUGAUAGGGGACAAAGAGACUGCCCCUCUUCACUCUCAAAUGUGAGCUUCCGCUCAGGGCAAUUAGCACAAUUGUUUGUCUAGAAGAAUAAAAAAACACUGGAGUCUCUCCCUCACUGUCCAGAGGAACCAGGAGCUUUUUCAUCAGCAAAGAGAACCCACACUGAGUUAGAAACCUUUAAAUGCCAAGUUAGACGCAAAACUUAAUUCAGACUUCUGUUUCUAGGAAUAGAAAAGUAGCUGG
rnacentral:lncRNA from 1 species